CUGGGGGGGUCUCUCGGGAAGCCGGCAGGGCUGGAGAUAGGGCUGGGGAGAGGCGGGGGGCGGGCCGGCG
rnacentral:miRNA from 1 species